CCUACGGGUGGCAGCAGUGAGGAAUAUUGGUCAAUGGCCGAGAGCCUGAACCAGCCAAGUCGCGUGCGGGAUGAAUGUCCUACGGAUUGUAAACUUCUUUUGUCCGGGAGUAAAGUCACUCACGUGUGGGUGUUUGCGUGUACCUUAUGAAUAAGCAUCGGCUAACUCCGUGCCAGCAGCCGCGGUAAUACGGAGGAUGCGAGCGUUAUCCGGAUUUAUUGGGUUUAAAGGGUGCGUAGGCGGGUUAUCAAGUCAGCGGUAAAAUCGUGGAGCUCAACCCCAGCCAGCCGUUGAAACUGGUGAGCUUGAGUGGGCGGGAAGUAGGCGGAAUGCGUGGUGUAGUGGUGAAAUGCAUAGAUAUCACGAAGAACUCCGAUUGCGAAGGCAGCAUACCGGAGCGGGACUGACGCUGAUGCUCGAAAGCGUGGGUAUCGAACAGGAUUAGAUACCCUGGUAGUC
rnacentral:rRNA from 1 species